UCAUCCUCUACACUCAAAACUAUCUUAAGAAAUUUUAGUCAUAGUCAUGCCUCCAAUAGAGUUUUUUGUCCAAGUAUAUUACAGUGGACAUGUUGAAAGAACAGACACAGAAGGUGUUGUAUUCUCAUGCAAUAAUUCAUCCUUGCUUAAAGUGAAGAAAAACAUCAAAUUGGAAGCACUUAUCCAAUGUAUCCAAACAAAGAUUCAACCAGACAACUCCAAGAGGGUGGUCGAUCUUAUUUAUCGAUACCCUACAACUCUUUCACAAGACUUGUUUGGUAUGAGUCGUGGAAUCUUGCAGGAGAUGACGACGUUUAGAUGAUGUUUGAGAUGUUCUUAACAUGUAAACAUCUUGGUAUUUCAACAAUGCAGGUUUAUGCAGGUUUGGUGGAUACCCCUUGUGAUGAAACCCGCGUAGAACCACCAUAUAUUGAACCAACACCCUCUUCAUACCCUCAUUCCAUGCCAAGUUCGUAUCCUUUUAUCGAAACACAAACCAGCCAUCACUUCAUGCCCUCUUCAUCAGCACAUCGGCCAUCCGAACCUACUCACAACAUUGACCUCAACUCACCAUUCCAUCUACACACCCCAAAUGAUGUUGUUCGUGCCAAUGUUGUUGCUAAUGUCCAUAAUGAAGAAGUUGGUGAUUUUAGUGAGAAAGAAGAUGACAUUCUUGCCCAACAUGCCAUCAACGACGAUGAGGACAAAGACAUGUGUUUUUUUGACCCUCCCAUACACUUUCGUAAUGUGAACUCCAACGAUACCUAAUAUGUUGAAGAUGAGUUUGUACACUCUAUGUCCCGAAACCAAUCUUAUGUUGUUCCACACCCUGACAACUUACAAGAGGGGAUGUAAUUUCCUACGAAAGAAACGGCAAUGCGGUGCAUAAAGGAAUAUCAUAUGAGUCAAGCCCCAGACUUGCGAUUAUGGGUCACACCCCAACCCGACUUGGGUUUGAUUUCAGAUAGACACGAGUCAAUCAAAAGUGUUGUUAGGCGUCUAGACAGUAAUUGGCACCAUGUCUUCUGCAUUCGACACAUAACUCAACUUUUUGAGGACUUUCAAGAACACAGAGAUGAAGAAAAAAGUAAGAAAUAUGGGAUACUCAAUGACUCAACCAAGCAUCACACACUACAGGAACCAAAUCAGGGAUUGGUCUGAUGAUGUUGUGAAGUGGGUCGACGAUAAUCCAAAGAAACAAUGGCUACAAGCACAUGAUCAAGGGAGACGUUGGGGGCACAUAACAACUAACAUUUCCGAGUGCUUUAACAAUGUACUAAAAGGGGGUCCGCAAUCUUCCAAUCACACCAAUUGUCCAGGCAACCUAUUAUCGAUCUACUGAACUCUUCGUAAAUAGAGGGAGUAAGGCCCAAGCAAUGAUGAGAUCUGGUAAAGUUUACUCAGAUGUAGUCAUGGAUAAUCUUGCCAAACAACGAGCGAUAUCAAAUACUCAUCAAGUAUACAUUCACAAUCGGGGACAUAGUCUUUUCAGUGUUCAGGAGCUGAUUCGUCCACCAAGCGGCCGCCCAACAGGAACAUUCACGGUAGACCUUGACAAAGAAUGGUGUGAUUGUGGUGAAUUUCAGGCAUUACAUUACCCUUGUUCACAUGUCAUAGCUGCUUGUUCAAAAUGGUAAUGUUUCUGAAAGAAAUUGACUCGUUGUUAUGGAUCAAUUUCAUCUAUUAAUAUACGGUGCAUCGGAAUGUCAAAUUAAUGUCAU